rnacentral:rRNA from 1 species
UACGUAGGGUGCGAGCGUUGUCCGGAAUUACUGGGCGUAAAGAGCUCGUAGGUGGUUUGUCGCGUUGUUCGUGAAAACCUGAGGCUUAACCUUGGGCGUGCGGGCGAUACGGGCAGACUGGAGUACUGCAGGGGAGACUGGAAUUCCUGGUGUAGCGGUGGAAUGCGCAGAUAUCAAGAGGAACACCUGCGGCGAAGGCGGGUUGCUGGGCUGACACUGACGCUGAAGCGCGAAAGCUAGGGGAGCGAACGGG